AAAGUACCACUCGCUAUGAAGCGCGUAGAUGAAAUUGACCAACGUGUUGAAGGCGGCCAUGGAGGCGUCGGAGAAAGCUAGGUUCACAAGGAAGUAGUUGGUGACAGUCCUCAUGCGCUUGUGGGCCAGGAUGAUCCAGAUGACGAUGAGAUUUCCCAAAACUGCCACUGCCACCACCACACCAUACGCCAGGGACCAGAGCGCGAUGCGCCAGGACGGCUGCACGAACUGUUCUGUCACCCAGGCUGGAAUGCAGUGGUGCAAUCAUAGCUCACUGCAGCCUUCAACUCCUGGCGCAAGCGAUCCUUCCCCACCUCAGCUUCCUGAGUAGCUAGUACUACAGGCAUGUGCCACCAGUGCCACCACACCCAGCUAAUUUAAAUUUUUUGUUGUUGUUGUUGCGACAUGGUCUGGCGAUGUUGUUCAGCCUGGUCUCCAACUCCUGGCCUUAAGCAAUCUUCCCAGCUCGGCCUCCCAAAAGGCUGGACCUCCAACAAUGCUGGGAUUACAGGCAUGAGCCACUGUGCCUGGCCCUUCUGCAUUCUUUAGUUUUCCAGUUUAAAAUAUACUCUUCAAAGAACCUGCUGUGAUGAUUGGACAAGUGGACUUAAGGUGCGUAGUGAUAAAUAGUGUUUUCCUUCUUACAGUUAUUAUGACUAAAUGGCUAGUGUAUAAAAAUGAUUUUAAGCAACCUGAUAGUUAUUAUCACAGCCUUGACACAAUCCUGCUUCAAAGUAAAUGCAUGCAGACCAUGAUGAUUAUCAAAUGUUAUUUCCCUUUUCUUCUGAGAGGCCUGUGAAAAUAUGUGAUAAAUCAUAGGCAAAGUCAAUAAGAUUAGCACUUUCUGCUUACUAAUUCCAAUGGUUUAAUUUAACUAUUUUCUUUUGAAAGAUUACUUCUUUGUUCUAAUUCAUCAUCUAGAAAUUACUUGAGUUACAAAUGAAAGCCUCUUCCUUUCCCAAUGCAAUUUAAAAGACAUUAAAAAUAUAUCUCCAUAUGACACACCUGCUUACUCAAGAUUACAAAAUAGGUUAUGUGGUGGUUUGGUAAUUAAGCAUGUUUUGAUCAGAUUUUUGAAGUUGAAAAAUUACUUAGUUGUGUAGAAAUACACUCAUUUUACUGUUGCUUUCUUUGUAAUACUUACAACAAACAUUUUAAUUUUUCAGUUUUGCCUUCAUUGGGCUUAUACAAAGUAGAGGGGAUAUGACAAGGAAAAAAAGGAUAAUGAUGGAAUUAGAAAUAGAUAUAAUGAAAGACGUUUAAAAAUUUAUUUCUUUCAGAGGAAGGGAGGCAUUCAGGGCAUGGCUUUCCUUCUCAAUCUGCCUUACCUACUGAGAAUCUCCCUUGACCCCAAGAGGGAUCAGUGAUAAUUCAUUGUCUAUCAUUUCUUAGCUAUGUAUUAGCAUACUUCUUUCCAGGUGCUAUGCCAGAUACUGGGAGUAUAGCAAUGAAGCAGUUAUAUAUGAAUUCUAUUCUUGAAGCCUAGAGUCUAGCAGUAUUUUUUCACAUUAAGAAAUAGGAAGGAAAAAAAGGAUCUGAGAAGUCCUGUAAUAAAAGUACUUUAGCCCUCUCCCUCUCCCUCUCCCCACGGUCUCCCUCUCCCUCUCUCUCCACGGUCUCCCUCUGAUGCCGAGCCAAAGCUGGACUGUACUGCCACCAUCUCGGCUCACUGCAACCUCCCUACCUGAUUCUCCUGCCUCAGCCUGCCGAGUGCCUGGGAUUGCAGGCGCGCGCCACCACGCCUGACUGGUUUUCGUAUUUUUUUGGUGGAGACGGGGUUUCGCUGUGUUGGCCGGGCUGGUCUCCAACUCCUAACUGCGACUGAUCUGCCAGCCUCGGCCUUCCGAGGUGCCGGGAUUGCAGACGGAGUCUCACUCACUCAGUGCUCAAUGUUGCCCAGGCUGGAGUGCAGUGGCGUGAUCUCGGCCAGCUACAACCUCCACCUCCCAGCCGCCUGCCUUGGCCUCCCAAAGUGCCGAGAAUGUAGCCUCUGCCCGGCCGCCACCCCAUCUGGGAAGUGAGGAGCGUCUCUGCCUGGCCGCCCAUCGUCUGGGAUGUGAGGAGCCCCUCUGCCCGGCAGCCCAGUCUGGGAAGUGAGGAGCGCCUCUUCCCAGCUGCCAUCCCGUCUAGGAAGUGAGGAGCGUCUCUGCCCAGCCGCCCAUCAUCUGAGAUGUGGGGAGCGCCUCUGCCCUGCCGCCCCCUCUGGGAUGUGAGGAGCGUCUCUGCCUGGCCGCCCCGUCUGAGAAGUGAAGAGUCCCUCCGCCCGGCAGCCACCCCGUCCGGGAGGUGGGGGGCGCCUCCGCCCGACCACCCUGUCUGGGAAGUGAGGAGCCCCUCUGCCCGGCAGCCACCCCGUCUGGGAGGUGUACCCAACAGCUCAUUGAGAACGGGCCAUGAUGACGAUGGUGGUUUUGUCGAAUAGAAAAGGGGGAAAUGUGGGGAAAAGAUAGAGAAAUCAGAUUGUUGCUGUGUCUGUGUAGAGGGAAGUAGACGUAGGAGACUCCAUUUUGUUCUGUACUAAGAAAAAUUCUUCUGCCUUGGGAUGCUGUUAAUCUAUAACCUUACCCCCAACCCCGUGCUCUCUGAAACAUGUGCUGUGUCCACUCAGGGUUAAAUGGAUUAAGGGCGGUGCAAGAUGUGCUUUGUUAAACAGAUGCUUGAAGGCAGCAUGCCCUAUAAGAGUCAUCACCACUCCCUAAUCUCAAGUACCCAGGGACGCAAACACUGCCGAAGGCCACAGGGUCCUCUGCCUAGGAAAACCAGAGACCCUUGUUCACAUGUUUGUCUGCUGACCUUCCCUCCACUAUUGUCCUAUGACCCUGCCAAAUCCCCCUCUCCGAGAAACACCCAAGAAUGAUCAAUAAAUACUAAAAAAAAAAAAAAAAAGAAAGAAAUGGUAACAAUGGACACCUUUACCUUGUUUCCAAUCUUAGUGGGAAAGUAUUCAGUUUUUCACCAUUAUGAAUGAUGUUAUCUAUAGGUUCUUUGUAGAUGGCCCUCAUCAAUUUGAGGAAGUUCCCUUCUAUUCCUAGUUUGCUGACUAUAUUUAUCAUGCCCCGAAGGUGAACUUUUUCAAAUGCCUUUUCUGUAUCUAUUGGGACAACCAUAUGGUUUGUUUUUUAAUACACUUAUGUGGUGAAUUGCAUUUAUUGAUUUUUGAAUGUUAGAGUAUACUUACAUUCCUGGUAUAAAUUCUACUUUUUCAUGAUGUAUUAUCUUUUAAAAAUAUGAUUAAAAUAUGAUUGAAUGUAGUUUACUAAUAAAAAUAAAUAAAUAAAUAAAUGUAAAAAAAAAAGAAAUAGGAAGGUAUGGAGAAAAAUGAGAGUGUUUAACUGUGUAAGAGAAUGUGGUGCCCACUGAUUCUGGAUUGUUCCAACUUCUCUUGUAAAUGUUUGAGAUGGACAUGCUAAUUACCCUUAACUGAUCACUAUACAUCGUACAUAUCAAAAUAUGUACCCCAUGAAUAUGUAAAGUUAUUAUUUGUUAAUAAAAAAUAAAAUUUUGAAAAUAUUUUAAAUAAAUACAAAGUAAAAGUACAGUCA